CUUGGGGUGUAAGAAAUUUAUAUAGAGUUGACAAAACUAAUAAGAUCUAGAACCUUCAACUUCCCUUUGAAUGACCGGCUGAUGUUCCCAAAUUGAGUUUAUGAUCUUUCCUCCAAAAGGCAGUUUCCUUUAUACAUUCUUCAUCUCAGGUGAUGUCAGCAGAGAACAACAACAAAACGCAGGUAACCACGUUGGAUCGAUUCAGGACGUCAAGGCAGCCAGGACAGUGCAACUGAAAACAUUCGGCAAAGAGGACUCCAGAGCCGCUGCAGAAAGUGGUGAGGAUGACGAGAUGGACGCUUUCCAGGCAAGGGAGAGGAUUUUCAAGGGG
rnacentral:lncRNA from 1 species